CUAAGGUGAAUUUAUUUUUUGGGUUUAUGUAUUUGGGAUUGGUUUAGGUUUUUAAUAUUGUGGGGUUUUUGGUUUUAUUUUAUGCAAUGGGAUAAGUGAAUCAUUCUGGGUUUAUGUAUCUGUUUUUGUUUUUAAGAGAUUUUGGGUGUUUUUGUAAUUAAAGGUCUCAGAAAUUUGUCUAUUUGAUUAAUUUUAAAAGGAUUUUAAAUAUUGUUUCAAAUUAUUUGGAUAAUGAAAUGAAUUUGGUUUCGGAUUUUUUUUUGGUAUGUUGUCUUUGAGGGUGUAACAUUUGUUUAUUUUGAGUUUCUUUGUCCUUUCUGGAACAUGGUUUAUGUUGUAUUAUACAAUUUAGUGCUCCUAUAGAAGCACAUUUCCAUUUGUUUUGUGAAGAAAAUUUGUUGAGUUCACUGUUUAAAGAGCAAAAUGUGACAACGCAAUACUCACGAUUAAUCACGUGGAACAUUUUUUUACCUGAUUACAAGAAAUGAUUUGAGUAGGAUGUUACGGUUGGCAUUUCUUGGAAAUCUGUAAAUGGGCUUUGUAUGAUCAAAUUAUUUAGUGCAUGGGGGAUUCAGUUUGUCACUGUGAUCAUUUUCUGAACGUUGAUAAUAAAUUUAUGUUUUCUUUUCAUUGGUUUGUGGAUCAUGUCCAAAAUUGUGUGGGAUAUUUAAGGUCCUCCGCUGAACUUAUUAAAUAAUUCUACUGCUUGAGACUUGUGCUAAAAAUUCCCUAUUGAGAAACUAUCUGGCAACAUUGAGUUUUGCUCUAGGCAUAUGUUCUCUAUCUUUUGUGUGUGUAUAUAAAUUUGUUUUGUUUCUGAUUAUUAACAGCUGAACUUGUUAUUGCUGCAUAAUUUUGGUAAAAGGAACAAUUUUUUAGAGGAAAGCAUGUCUCUUAUUUAAGUUCACACAUUUUUUAUUGGAAUAUUAGACCAAGCAGUACAAGAAUUUUAUGUGCUUCUUGUUUGCCAAAUGUGCUUUUAUCCAUUUUCAAUUGAUUAAGUUGCUGUUGAGAUUUGUUCCAAGCCACCUUAGAGAGCAAGGUUUUUUGAUUACUGUAUGGAUGACUAGAAUUCUUGGAAUAACAUGCUCAACCAGAAGUUGAGG
rnacentral:lncRNA from 1 species